rnacentral:rRNA from 1 species
CAGCAGCCGCGGUAACACGUAGGUGGCAAGCGUUGUCCGGAAUUAUUGGGCGUAAAGGGCUCGCAGGCGGUUUCUUAAGUCCGAUGUGAAAGCCCCCGGCUCAACCGGGGAGGGUCAUUGGAAACUGGGAAACUUGAGUGCAGAAGAGGAGAGUGGAAUUCCACGUGUAGCGGUGAAAUGCGUAGAGAUGUGGAGGAACACCAGUGGCGAAGGCGACUCUCUGGUCUGUAACUGACGCUGAGGAGCGAAAGCGUGGGGAGCGAACAGGAUUAGAUACCCCCGUAGUCCCUGUCUCUUAUAC